UCUCCGUCUGGAGUGGCCCUGAAACUUCUGUGACAUCACAGCUCCCAGCGUGUUGCAGGAGGAAGGUCCAGGUCCUGGAAACGAGCACAGCAGACACUUCACCUGCUGCCAGCGGCCAGUUCUCCCUCGCCCUUCGCUCUGCCCAUCACUGCCGAGCUGUUGCUGCUGCCUGGGCUUUUCCUGACGCCUGCUCUGAAGCCAAUCCCGGCAGGAUGGGCACUGCUGCCCCAGUGGAGACGGUCAGAGACACCCUGGAGGAGAUGGAAGUGGACAUGGUGGUGCAUGGAGAAGAAAUGAUGGAGGUGGACACAGAAGACACUGCCGAGGACAUGGAGGUGGACGUGGAGGACGACACCGAGGAAAUGGAGGUUGAUGAGAAGGAUGAGGAGGAGCCCAUGGUCCUCGGAUGAAGAUGGAGCCCCACGAGCAAGAGAAGCAGAUGCUUCCCACGCCCAGCCCACCUGAGCCACUGCUGGCAGCAGAGUCCAGCGCUGCUGCAUCCUUUCCUCCAGGACUGAGGGAGAUGAUGGACACUGAUAUGACCCCUUUGUAAUUACGUUCUAGGUUUAGAGGUUUUCUGUAAAUAUGUUUUAAAGUUUCUUA